GGUGAAACACUAGUUCCUAUAUGAUCACUGAAGUUAAGCAGUGUGAAGCCUAGUCAGUAUCUUGAUGGCUGACCACUUAGGAAUAUCAGGUGCUGUAAG